AUUGAACGCUGGCGGCAGGCCUAACACAUGCGAGUCGAGCGGAUGAAGGGAGCUUGCUCCUGGAUUCAGCGGCGGACGGGUGAGUAAUGCCUAGGAAUCUGCCUGGUAGUGGGGGAUAACGUCCGGAAACGGGCGCUAAUACCGCAUACGUCCUGAGGGAGAAAGUGGGGGAUCUUCGGACCUCACGCUAUCAGAUGAGCCUAGGUCGGAUUAGCUAGUUGGUGGGGUAAAGGCCUACCAAGGCGACGAUCCGUAACUGGUCUGAGAGGAUGAUCAGUCACACUGGAACUGAGACACGGUCCAGGCUCCUACGGGAGGCAGCAGUGGGGAAUAUUGGACAAUGGGCGAAAGCCUGAUCCAGCCAUGCCGCGUGUGUGAAGAAGGUCUUCGGAUUGUAAAGCACUUUAAGUUGGGAGGAAGGGCAGUAAGUUAAUACCUUGCUGUUUUGACGUUACCAACAGAAUAAGCACCGGCUAACUUCGUG
rnacentral:rRNA from 1 species